AAUGCUAAAGGACCUACAAAAUGCUUAAUGUGAAUUGUGAGUACUCUAGGACCAUCUGUAAACCUACCUGGCUUGAAGCACAUGGUCUGAAAAGGUUGACUAUUACUGACUUUAAAUGUACCAACAACAUAAGCAGUUGUGAUUAUUGUGGACUUGCUCCUGCUGUGAACUCACCUGUGGUAGAAUGUACUCACUCAUACAUGAAUCUAAACCGUGAAACGUGCGCUUGCCUGGCUCAGUCCACAGAGAAUGCUACACUUGAUCUUCAGGUUGUAAGUUCGAGCCCCACAUUGGGUGUAGGGAUUACUUAAAAAUCUUUUAAAAAUAAUAAAAUGUGAAACAGUGGAAUAUUUUGCCCUGUCUGAAGGUAUUCAGUAUACUAGAACCAGCAUUUUCCACGUGAAGCAUAUAUAGGACUUUCCUGUGCAGAGCCUCUUAUAUUCAUUUUUAUUAUGCAAAUUUAAGAUAUGCUCUUUAGCAUCUGGUAAGAACAAUCUUUUUGUGACAUAUGUCUGCCCUUGGCUAAAUUGGAAUGCAGAUGUGAUUUUAAACAGAUUUUUUUAAUAGAUAGAUGUUUAAGGAACGAUGUGAAAAUCUUUUUUUUUUUUUUUUAAUUUUCUGAUCAAAUCAGUACUGUAAGGGCAAAUUUUUCCCAAUGGGAUAAAAGGUAUAAGGAGAAAUAUAACAGCUGAAGGUAAAAUAGUGGUUUAAGUGGAUUGGUUAUGCUCAUGUGGAGUUCUCAGAAUGGAAGAAUCAGAAAUAGUUAGGGCACCUGGGUGGCACAGUUAGGCAUUCAACUCUUGGUUUCAGCUCAGGUUGUGAUCUCAGGGUGUGAUAUCCAGCCCCUAGUCAGACUCUGUGCUGAGCACACAGCCUGCCUGAGAUUCUCUUCCUCUCUUUGCCCCUCCUGCUUAUGCAUGCGCUCUUCUCUCUCUCCCAAUUAAAAAAAAAAAAAAAUCAGAAAUAGUUAACAUGGGCAGAUGGAACUGGCAGGGUUCUGGGGGCCAGGAAGGCCUCUCUGCCCAUCGGAUGGGCCCAGGCCCCUGUUGUGUGGAGUCCCAGGGGGCACAGCGGACCAGCCUCACUGUGCCUGAUGGACUGAAUAGAGGGUGCAAGUACUGACUGUAUCCUUAGAUGUCUUUCUUAUAUAAAAGGCUCUCGGUCAGUACAUGUAUCUGUUGAAUGCUCAGUAUGUGGUGUGAGGGAGUGACGUGUGCAGAGAAGCCUACUUGGUGAUUCCUUGUGACGGGAUAGAAUUCUCAUGAAACACAAGAAGGUGCUUUUGAUAUUUUAUUCUCUGCUGUCAAAAGGAUUAUUAAUAAUGUACUAAAGAAGCAGCUUGAUAUUAUUAGUAUAGUCCUUAAUCUGUGACCAGGAAAAAUGGAAAACAAAGGAAAAACCAAACCCCGACUUCUCCCCUAAUUGGCUACAAUCUUUAUUCUUUGGAUGUAUUCUCUCUGACAUCCAUUAUUUGAAUGUGGACUGUACAGAAAUCAGUAUAUAGGAGAGGAAUGACCUGAUUUUUUUUUUUUUUAGGUAAAAGAUUGAUACUCAAGUUUUAAGUAUUUUAAACCAUCAGUUUGAAUGGUUUGUUUUAAACGAUGUUUUGCUGCGUGUACUCUUCAUUUGCUCAUAAUACCACUUUAAAUACAAAUGUAAAAGUGACAUCUGUUCUUAAAAUUACUAUUAAAAAAAUCUUAAUCUUGUUUCUUGGUUUGGCCGCCUCCUACCUUCAUCUUGAAAGGAAAGCGACUGCUCUUUGUGAGAGCUUAUGUCAUAGUCGUUAGUCUCUGAAGACAUUCAACACUGACUCUCAGAAGGCCCUGGCAUGGCAACUUCCUUUCCCACCCAGACGAGUGCACACACAUGCACAGACACGUGUAAACGCUCAGACACAGGCACGCUCACACAAGUGCACACAUGCACUCAUACAUGCAGACACGCUCACCGCUUAGGCAUGCGCACAGAUGUGCACACACUCAGACAUGCGCACACACAUGCUCAGACACACGCUCAGAUGUGCACGCACACACAUGCUUAGAGGUGUGAACGCUCUCAGAUACGUGCACACAUGUUCAGACACAUACACACACUCAGAUACACACAUGUGCUGCUGUCCAUGAAUUCAUGUGUCAGGCACUGGGUGGGGGGGUGUUAUACAAAGCCUUUCUGAAGUUUAAAUGCAAGCUGAAUAGCAGGGGUGCCAGUGGAAGGGCUGGAGCAGGCAGGUAAGAAUUGUUGGCAUUACUGAAGAAAAAAGAAAGCUCAUUCUCCCUGAACUCCUGAGAGACAUAGCAAAUGCCUCACGAGCAGGGUACACUGCAUCUGUUGACUGUAGCUGGGAAGAUGGGGUUUGCUUCAUUUUUAAAUUUACAGAUUGUAUUUAAUGUUGAUUUGGGUCAGAUGUUUUGAGAAGGUGAUUCUGAUGACUUUUAUGUGUGCAGUACUCAUUCAUUUAUUUUCUAGCAACCAAAUACCAAAUAGGCGAGCUGUAUUUUCAGUGCUCGAUGAGUUUAGUGACACAGUUUAGCCUAACAGCCUGAUCUUCUCAUUUAGAAUCCCUUGCUUCCAACCCAAGAAAGGUUUGCAUGCUACUGAGCAGUGGUAACAGUGUGUGUUAGGGGAAUUCAGAGCAGGGGAGAAGUUCUUCCUCCUGGAGGUUGUGUGUUUUGUGCAAAUAACCCAACAAGCACUGGUACGGAUGCGAGGGAAACCAGUUGGCUUUGUUCUUGUGAAUAUCGUACUUUAAAUUGAGGCAGAAGGAUUCCUGUGAGUGGAAUGAAGAGGAAGGAAGAUGCACUUUUCCCCUCCUUUCUCUCUCCUGUUCCUUCCUCCCUCCUCUUUUUCCCUCCUUCCUCUUCCUCCCUCCCUUUUAAAAAUAAACAUUAACCUUAUAACGAACUCUAUCUGCUAGCAGAGGAGAGCAUACUAUCCUAGGAGGCUUGGGCGCUGUGUUCUCCCCACUUGAAUAAUUCACUUACAAAAGUUAGUUGCGUUUCUUUCAAACUGGUUUAUUCCGGGUGUGCUUUUUACAGUCUGCAUAUAAUGCAAUUAAAUGUUAUCUGAGUGUUUCAGACAUGAGUGGGAAAAGAAAAUAUUGCUGUAAAAGCUAAUUUGAAUGAUUUGGGAAGAUUGAUAAAGGCAGUCCAUUUAAAAUAAACUGUCAAGUGUGGAAGAGACCACUAUAAAUAUAAGCAUUCCACCGUUAACAUUUCCUUAGGGGGUCUCUGUAGUUUAACACCAUUUCAGGGUGAAUACUAGAAUUGGCAUAUGAGAGUGUGUGCUGGUGAGAUAGUAAGAACAUCCCAUCCUUUUGAGAUUCAUACUCAAAGGAAAGACCUUAGCCCAGGUCUGAAGAUGACUGCAGGAGGCAGUGCCCUCUGAGUGGACCUGGUAUAGUGCGUAAAGUGUCCCUAUUGAACAGGAGGAGGAAAGAAACAGAGACUUAACUUGCAUUUAGAGACUUAACUUGCAUCUUUUUAAAGGCUUUCUGCUUUAACUGACUUCGUUUAAAAAUCAGCUGACCAAAGACUAGUGAUUUAUUGAGAAAAGAGGGCUUCUGCCCCUGAUGGAGACUCUCAUGGUGUGGGGAGCAUCAGCAGUGAGCUCCUGUUAGAAGGCCGUCCGUUUCCCUGCUUGAAUCACACACGUAGAGAACUAGAGGAGGACUGGGUGGACUGGCCAUCAUGAAGGCUGAAAAUGACUUUAGUGUCACUUGUCCUCUGGCUAACAGGGCAGACCAGUAAGCUUCAGGUGUUCAUGACCACAUGAAUUUCCAGGCCUAAUCAAAAAGGAUUCCAUUGGUUACCUAAGAAGAAUGACUAGAGAUUGUGUGGUCCUUUCAUGGGUGGGGAAACUGAGGCUGUUUGUCCAAGUCUUACAGGUGUGUUUGGCUGUGCUAAAAACCAGAAAUCAAUCUUCUUGUCCCCUUAUUUUACCUGGUUAUUUUUUAUUUUUAUUUUAUUUUUAUUUUUUUAUUUUUAAUUUUUUAUUUAUUUAUGAUAGUCACAGAGAGAGAGAGAGAGGCAGAGACAUAGGCAGAGGGAGAAGCAGGCUCCAUGCACCGGGAGCCUGAUGUGGGAUUCGAUCCCGGGUCUCCAGGAUCGCGCCCUGGGCCAAAGGCAGGCGCCAAACCGCUGCGCCACCCAGGGAUCCCCUGGUUAUUUUUUAAUAGAUGGAUUAAACUGAGGGGUAUGUUUCAGUUUGGUUGAGGGCCUCACUGAUUUGUCUAUAUCAUCAGCCAGUGCUAGUGUAUAGUUAAGGGUGUAUCCUAUUUGUUUCUGACCAAAGUGAAGGAGGUAAUGAGACAUAUCCUAUGUCAAAUCAUUAUGCCUUACUCACUGAUUUCAAGUCAGCAGUAUGGUGAUUUUUUUCCCUUUUACAUUAAAAAAAUACAUUAUUUAUAGUGAUUUUAAAACCUUGGGAGGAAGAAAGUAAAAUGAUGAGACAUUUAUUUUUGAUGAGAAUUAAUCUUAUAUAUUUGGUUUUUACCAUGUAUAAUUUGAAAAGGAAGCUACAAUGCUCAGAAUGGAGAAAUUAAUUUACAUAAUAGCCUAGAUUUUCUGCAUGUAUACAUUAAAAAAGAUGACUUGGAGUUUGUCUUACUAGCUUUUAAUUUGGGGAUCCCAGAUCUUAAUUAUAUCUUUUUUUUAAUUAAAGAUUUUAUUUAUUUAUUCAUGAGAGACAGAGAGAGAGAGAGAGGCAAGAGACACAGGCAGAGGGAGCAGCAGGCUCCAUGCAGGGAGCCUGACGUGGGACUGGAUCCCGGGACAUGGGAUCAUGCCCUGGGUCGAAGGCAGGCACUUAACCACUGAGCCACCCAGGUGUCCCAGUCUUGUUCCUUCUAAAUAGGCAACGGAGUUUUUUUUUUUUUUUUCUUAUUUAAUUUUUUUAAGUAGGCUGCACAUCCAAUGCAGAGCCCAACGUGGGGCUUGAACUCAUGACCCUGAGAUUAAAACCUGAGCCUAUAUCAAGAGUUAACGCUUAACCAAAUGAGCCACUCAGGUACCCCGGCAAUGGAGUUUUGAUAGAAGAUAGUUUUGAGAACUGGUCAUUGAUUUAUGCUGAUUUGGUUAUUUUCUUAAUUUGUAAUUUAGUGAUUAAGAACUUGUGUUCUGGGGUCAGCUUUUAAUCCCAUCCCCUCUGGUCUAUAGCUGUUUGAUUGGAGGCAUGUAACUUUCCUUUUCUUCACUGAACCAGGAGCAGCAAUUGUAUCUGCUUCUUGGUGUUAAUGAGGACUCAGCGAGAGAAGCCAUGCAGAGCUUGGCUUGUAGCAGCAGCAUCACAAAGGUUGGCUCUUCGGGUUAUGACAGUGACUUUCUCUUUGUCGUGGUUGUGGGCAGCAUGCAGCUUUUCCUUCCAUGAGUUUGUCAGAGUUCUCUCAGCCUGCCCUCUGCACCUUGCCCCAUGUUCUGGUUUGAUGGUGGAAAUACUGCAGAUGCUGUUCUCCAGUUACAGAUGGUCGUGACACCCUAGACUGAGCCUGUCCAGGGCCAUCCAUAGAUUCACACUUGGCUAAUCAUUAUUAGUUUUGCCCGCUCACUUAUUUGUAUGGUUAUUUGAAAAGAGGUGAUAUUUCAAACAAGAUUUUCUUUCUUUCUUUUUUUUAAGAUUUUACUCAUUUGAGAGAGAGAAUAGAGCACGAGCAGGGGGAAGAGGGAAAAGCAGGCUCCCUGUUGAGCAGGGAGCCCAAUGCGGGGCUCGAUCUCAGGACCCCAGGAUCAUGACCUGAGCUGAAGGCAGAUGCUUAACCAGCUGAGCCACCCAGCUCACUCAGAGCUGAAUGGGCAUUGGAGUGUGGAUGAUCUCUUAGAAAUAACUCGUGACCCAGAUUAUCAUAUUGCCAACACCGAGGUAUCUUUUUCACGAAUGGGCUUUUCUUCCAGUGCAUCGCGUGAACUUCUGUAAGGUGGGCGUUAGCCAUACCGCUUGAUUUUAAAGACCCUGUCUAUCGUAUGGCAUAC
rnacentral:lncRNA from 1 species